UACGUAGGGAGCAAGCGUUGUCCGGAAUCAUUGGGCGUAAAGCGCGCGUAGGUGGCCCCGUAAGUCCGCUGUGAAAGUCAAAGGCUCAACCUUUGAAAGCCGGUGGAUACUGUGGGACUAGAGUACGGAAGAGGAGAGUGGAAUUCCCGGUGUAGCGGUGAAAUGCUCAGAUAUCGGGAAGAACACCCGUGGCGAAGGCGGCUCUCUGGGACGGUACUGACGCUGAGACGCGAAAGCGUGGGGAGCGAACAGG
rnacentral:rRNA from 1 species